rnacentral:lncRNA from 1 species
UCAAAACGAAUUUAAAGAUUUAUUUUUUUGUGUUUCUUCAAUUCUCUAUUGAAGAGUUUCCAUCAUCAUACACUUUCUUCUUUUUCCUACAAGAUUAUAUUAUUCUAGCAAAUCAAUUUCAUAAUUUCUUUUUUGUUUUAUACAAUUUCUGAGAAUUUUUUUGAAAGAAAAACAAACAUAAGUUAUUGUUGUGUUAUAAAAAUAUGAUUUUUGAUGAUUUUCAUUCAAUCAUGAUAUGCCAUGGAGGGAGAUGAGAUUCAU